rnacentral:rRNA from 1 species
AGCAGCCGCGGUAAUUCCAGCUCCAAUAGCGUAUAUUAAAGUUGCUGCAGUUAAAAAGCUCGUAGUUGAAUUUCGGGACUAAUAUGUCGGUCGUGCCUCGGUACGUACUGGUAUUUUUGGUUUCUCCCUUCUGACGAACCUUGAUGUCAUUAAUUUGGUGUCUUGGGAAAUCAGGACUGUUACUUUGAAAAAUUAGAGUGUUUAAAGCAGGCUCACGCUUGAAUACAUUAGCAUGGAAUAAUGAAAUAGGACGUUUGAUUCUAUUUUGUUGGUUUCUAGGAUCGACGUAAUGAUUAAUAGGGAUAGUUGGGGGCAUUAGUAUUCAAUUGUCAGAGGUGAAAUUCUUGGAUUUAUUGAAGACUAACUACUGCGAAAGCAUUUGCCAAGGAUGUUUUCAUUAAUCAAGAACGAAAGUUAGGGGAUCGAAGACGAUCAGAUACCGUCGUAGUCUUAACCAUAAACUAUGCCGACUAGGGAUCGGAUGAUGUUAAUUUUUAAUGACUCAUUCGGCGCCUUACGG